rfam:Dorea formicigenerans CAG:28 genomic scaffold, scf128
GAGAUUCUUCGGGGCAGGGUGUAAUUCCCAACCGGCGGUAAAGUCCGCGACCCGCUGUGUAAGUGUAUGCAGUGGCUGAUCUGGUGAGAUUCCGGAACCGACAGUAAAGUCUGGAUGAGAGAAGAAUUAU